rnacentral:rRNA from 1 species
AUUGAACGCUGGCGGCAGGCCUAACACAUGCAAGUCGAGCGGAUGAAGGGAGCUUGCUCCUGGAUUCAGCGGCGGACGGGUGAGUAAUGCCUAGGAAUCUGCCUGGUAGUGGGGGAUAACGUCCGGAAACGGGCGCUAAUACCGCAUACGUCCUGAGGGAGAAAGUGGGGGAUCUUCGGACCUCACGCUAUCAGAUGAGCCUAGGUCGGAUUAGCUAGUUGGUGGGGUAAAGGCCUACCAAGGCGACGAUCCGUAACUGGUCUGAGAGGAUGAUCAGUCACACUGGAACUGAGACACGGUCCAGACUCCUACGGGAGGCAGCAGUGGGGAAUAUUGGACAAUGGGCGAAAGCCUGAUCCAGCCAUGCCGCGUGUGUGAAGAAGGUCUUCGGAUUGUAAAGCACUUUAAGUUGGGAGGAAGGGCAGUAAGUUAAUACCUUGCUGAUUUGACGUUACCAACAGAAUAAGCACCGGCUAACUUCGUG